rnacentral:rRNA from 1 species
UUGAUGACUUGUAUGAAGGAUUGGAUGAAAUAUAGACUGUCUCUAAGUUAAAUUUAGAAUUUAAUUUUUUAAUUAAAAAGUUAAAAUAGUUUAAAAAGACGAGAAGACCCUAUAGAGUUUUAUAAAUGAUUUAAUUGAGGUUAUUUAGUGAUGUAAAAAUUUAAAUUAUUUUAUUUAUUGUGUUGGGGUGAUAGAAAAAUAUGUUGAACUUUUUUUUUAUAUUACAUUUAUAAGUGGCUAUUUGAUCCAGUAUUAUUGAUUAUAAGAAUAAAUUACCUUAGGGAUAACAGCGUAAUUUUUUUUUUUAGUUCGUAUAAGAAAAAGAGUUUGCGACCUCGAUGUUGGAUUAA